CACACACACACAUACUCACAGACACACACACAUACUUAUAGACACACACACACUGACAGACACACACAUACUCACAGACACACACACAUACUUAUAGACACACACAUACUCACAGACACACACACAUACUUAUAGACACACACACACUGACAGACACACACAUACUCACACACACACACAAAUUAUUAUAUUUUAAUUUUAAAAAACAAUGUCCACCCAGCCUCCUACCUGGAGUGCUGGUGGACUUUUCCCUGGGGUCCAGUGGGG